AACGGAGGUUCCUAGCGUUGUUCGGAAUUACUGGGCGUAAAGGGAGCGCAGGCGGAAAAGUAAGUCUAAAGUGGAAUCCCGGGGCUUAACCCCGGAAGGGCUUUGGAUACUGCUUUUCUUGAGUUCGUGAGAGGAAGGCGGAAUUCAGGGUGUAGCGGUGAAAUGCUUAGAUAUCCUGAGGAACACCGGUGGCGAAAGCGGCCUUCUGGCGCGAAACUGACGCUGAGGCUCGAAAGCGUGGGGAGCGAACGGG
rnacentral:rRNA from 1 species